rnacentral:lncRNA from 1 species
UAACAAAGACAUGUUUCAUAUUGGGUAUGAUAUCUACAAAGAAAUGUUUUCAUAGUGGGUAUAGAAUAUAUAACAAAGAAUGUUUCAUAUUGGGUAUGAUAUCUAACAAAGAAUGUUUCAUAUUGAGUAUGAUAUCUAACAAGAAUGUUUCAUAUUGAGUAUGCACUAACAAAGAAUGUUUCAUAUGAGUAUGAUAUCUAACAAAGAAGUUUCUAUUGGGAUGAUAUGCUAUCAUAAUCAAGAAUGGUUUCAUAUUGGGUAUGAUAUCUAACAAAAGGUUUCAUAUUUGAGUAUGAUAUUAACAAAGAAUGUUUCAUAUUGAGUAUGAU